UCAGUUGAUGGGCAUUUGGGCUCUUUCCAUAAUUUGGCUAUUGUUGAAAGCAUUGCUAUAAACACUGGGGUACAUGUGCCCCUAUGAAUCAGCUCUCCUGUAUCCUUUGGAUAAAUCCCUAGUAGUGCUAUUGCUGGGUUGUAGGGUGGUCCUAUUUUUAAUUUUUUGAGGAACCUCCACACUGUCUUCCAGAGCGGCUGCACCAGUUUGCAUUCCCACUGACAAUGCAAGAGGUUCCUAUUUCUCCACAUCCUUGCCAACAUCUCUUGUUUCCUGAGUUGUUAAUUUUAGCCACUCUGACCAGUGUGUGGUAUCUCAAUGUGGUUUUGAUUUGUAUUUCCCUGAUGAUGAGUGAUGUUGAGCAUCUUUUCAUGUGUCUGUCAGCCAUCUGGAUGUCUUCUUUGGAAAAGUGUGUAUUCAUGUCUUCUGCCCAUUUCUUCACUAGAUUAUUUCUUUUUGGGUGUUGAGUUUGGUUAACUCCCUUAUAGAUUUUGGAUACUAACCCUUUAUCUGUCAUUUGCAAAUACCUUCUCCCAUUCCGUCAGUUGCCUUUUAGUUCUGUUGAUUGUUUCCUUUGUAGUGCAGAAGCUUUUUAUCUUGAUGAGGUCCCAAUUGUUCAUUUUUGCUCUUAUUUCCCUUGCCUUCAGAGACGGCAAGAAAUUGCUGUAGCUGAGGUCAAAGAAGUUGUUGCCUGUUUUCUCCUCUACAGUUUUGAUGGUUUCCUGUCUCACAUUUAGGUUUCCAUCCUGUCAAUGCUGAUCUUUUUGGUCCAAGAAGCACAGACCAGACCCAGAACAGAAUGUGGACAGCUGUGGCCACAACUACUUCAGGCUGGUGGAGAAACCUGCCCUGUGGUCCUCAGUCUUCAGGAAGAACUGAAGUUCUUCUGAAGUUCCCAUCAAGAACCCCAUGAAAAAGCUGUUGUUUAACCACAGUGUGAAUGAACUCAAUACGAAGGAAGAAUCCACCGAUGUCCCAUGAUUACUCACAUUUGGGUUUGAGUAACUGGGACACAAGAGCAUGAGUAGACAGACAAAACAGCUUCUGUACCUUCAUGUCCUGGUUGUAUCAGGCGGCAUAGGGGCACCAGGGAGGAGGUGGGGGUGGGAAUGGAGUGGGGUGGUAAUUGGAGUUGGAGGUGGUGUUUCAGUAAGGGUGAGAUUGGGGAGGGGGUGUGUCAGGAGAAGAAGGAGGUGAGGGACAGUACCAAGAUUAGAUCAAGUACUAGAGUAGGGUGGGGGGGGGGGUGGGGUUCAGACAGGUUAGUUGGUCAGCAGGUCAAUAAAUCACUAGGUGAGCAGGACACAAGUAGCAGCUGGAGCAGAGGAGGAUCCAUCUAUGUUCAAGCCUUCAACUCUCUGAGCAUUGCUUUAACAGCCUGUAACCUUUAUUCUCUCUCUCUCUCUCUCUCUCUCUCUCUCUCUCUCUCUCUUGACCAAUCAGCUCCCUUCACCCCUGGUAGAUCAACACAGACACCCAGCGUGACUUUAUUUUUUAAAAAGCCACUUCUCACCUACCACAUCACCACAUGCCAUCCCAACGACUGCUGCUCUCUGGAACACUGGCAGACCUUCUGGUUUCUGGUCCCUCCCAACCCAGGUCCCUUUCCCCUCUUCUCGGAGCUCUCUCCCUCCUUUCAGAACUCCAAUGAAAUACAUAAGCAGAAUGAGAGUUUUCAACCCUCUCUAACUCAAAGAAGACAUAACAUCCAUAAGAUAUAGAUCUUGCUAGCAACCAUCUGAAAUCCCACAGCAAUAUCCAUAUAUGUGUCCACAUCUACAUAUAACACUGUGGAGGACACAUUAACUUUAGGCACAUAGGCUACAGAUAUAAAAACUCAUACUACUUAUCUUGGCCAUACGUGAAAUUUCAAUAUAUUCCAGAGGAAUGAAACACACAGAGCAUCUUUUGGUAAUAUAAUGUGCUAGAAAUCGCUGCUAAAAAGCUAACUAGAAAUUCCCGUAUGUUUAGUAAUUGAGAAGCCCCUCUAUAAAUAUGAAUGAAGAAAUCCCAAAGAAAAAGAGCUAUAUUUGACUGAAUGAGCAUGAUAAAAUUAUAAUCAAAUAUGUCUCCAGACCUGGAAUAUCCUGAAAUAUUGGUGUGAGAAGGCUGUCUGGUCCCCAAAUCAUCUCUAAUUGGCCUAGACCUUUUAAUACCUCAAAUAGUGGUCGAUCUGUCACUUGUCUAUGUGACCCUCCUACCCACUAGGUUGGACUUUACAUUAUGAACCCCACAGGGGGAAUAAUCCAAGCUGACUCUCAUGGCAUCUCCUGGGAUCUGCAGGAAUGAGAGCAUUUUAAGAUAAAUAGUUCAUCAGCUUAUCUCUUGGGGGCCCUGGGACAACACCCAUAUUGUUAGCAGCACCAGGUGUGCUGGGCAGGGAGGGCCUAGCAGGUGGCCAGGGUCACCCCAAUUAUAACUGGAGCAGGGAUCAAGGAAAGAAGCAGCAGUGAACAGAGACUGGGGGCCUUGAACAGGUGAGAUCAUUCAUGGAGGUAAGGUAGUGUCCCCAAAGCCAGUAUCAGCUUCCCAUCUGGAGAGCCCUUUGUGGCCCCUGGGGGCAGGGCCAGGAGCUUAGAGUUUGAGAUCCAGUGUGCUGCUUACCAGCUGUGUGACCCUGGGCUGUGUUCUUUCAGUAAAAUGGUGUCCUUCCGUGUCCAUGCCUGUGUCCAUAACUGUGCUAUGGACAGGAGGAAGCCACGUCCUAAGCACCUUUGCACAUUAGUGUCACCAUCUCUAUGUGAUGCAGGGUCAUCGAGCCCAAUGGUCAUGAAUGAAUUCUUGAGACAUUUUAUGGUGCAAAAAGGUGUUUUAAUUAUACCACAGGGACAGGACCCAUUGGCAGAAAGAGUUGUACUUGGAAGGUAAGGAAUGACUGAUUGUAUACUUUUAAGUUUGGGGGAUGGGGAAGGUAGAGAUAACCUAAGUCUCUAAAGGGAUUUGUGCAUGUUAGAGAAGAGUCACGGGAUCCUGGAGUUCAGGCUGUUGUGAAGCCAGUUGCUUUCAGUCUCUAGCAAAACAUCAACAUUAAGGCAGCCAUGAGCACUUUGAGCAGGGCCACGCUCUGCAUGUCUCAGGGAUUUAUCAGUGGGCUGCAAGUUGUGAGAAAAUAUAAUUUUGAUUAUGGUUC